CCCCCGCUAAUGUUUAACCUCCCGAAUCGCUGAUCCCUCGGACUGCAGCCAAGCUACCCACCCGCCCCGCUCCCGGGACGAAUUCCUGGCAUAGUUUUCCCGCGCGGCCCGCUCACCGUGGGGUCUCCUGGAGCCGGGGACGGCGGGAAGACGUCUCGAGGUGGCGGCUCCCAUACUCGCCCCACGUCCCGCCUCCAGACUUGCUCCACCGCCCCAGACAGCCCAGAGAUGGUUCCCGGAAUGCUCACCGCCCGCCGUUCCCGGGAUGCUUCCCCAGCCCCACGCAGUCCGGGCGCUCUCUGCGGCGGAGGCAGAGCCUGCCCGGCCCACUCCAGUGCCGCCAACCUGCGGGACCGCGGACAGAGAGCUCCUCGGUGCGUCGGUCAGCUCGUGGCUUGGGGUCUCUGGUGCCUCCAGCUCCUACUACAGCCGCCCCGCCCCACCUCAAGAAGAGGUGGAGCCUCUCCCGGCCCCUCUCGGACGAGCUAUUUUUAGACAGAAUUUGGCUCUUGUUGUCCAGGCUGGAGUGCAGUGGUACAGUCUCAGCUUACUGCAACCUCCACCUCCCGGGUUCAAGCAAUUCUCCUGCCUCAGCCUCCCAAGUAGCUGGGAUUACAGACAGAGAAAGCUAAUCCUAACUGACAUUUGAGAGGCAACCCUCUGCCCACCCCGCCAAGAGACAGUGGAGAUCAAGUGAAAAUGUGGCACUCCAGGAAAUGUCCAUUUCCACACUGCAGCAGCAGCAAACGAGUGUUAGCUUUAUUUGUUACCUGGACCCAGCUCCCCAGUCACUGACCCCUCUGGGCCUUUAAUCAGGUCCCUGUAAGUCCUGGGACAGUGCUUGCGAUAGAGAUUUUCCACCAGUGUGUUGCUUCCUCUAAUCACAGCCCGCCCCUCCUGGUUCAUGUGGUUCCACAAAUGCAGGGCAUAAGAGACAUUGAAGCUUGGCUCUGUAUCCCACACUUCAUAGUAGCGCCUCCACUCUCGAUAGGAGAUGGGGUAAAAUCUUUGGGGGUGUAAGAAGGAUAUGUUCAGACACCUGAGGUCGCUCACCUCCUGGAAGUCUUCAAGUUUACACCAUACCCUCAACAUCCUUGUCAUCAACUCAGGGCCUUGGUUGCCCCAAAUGGCUGAAUUAUAGUGUUCAACAAAGUUUUCCAUGCAUUCCCACAAAAAGGGGUGGUGGGGGAGGAACCCAAAUAUUCCAUUACUAGAGUACCGAGAAGCCUGCGCAGCCAAAAAGUUCUCCUCAGGGAUGGGCCUGAUGGAGAUGACAUCGGUGUCCAUGUAGAUGCCACCGUAUUUCCAGAUGAUGGCCAGGCGGGAUGCAUCCGAGCUGAUGUGGAGCCAGUUUCUCUCUGCGCUGGCGUUGAUCUGCAGGAGCAGGUGCAAAUCAGCCCCAAGUAGCCAGGGGAAGAGGGAGGGGCAUCACAGCAGGAGGCCAGGCCCAGAGAGGCUGGGGAGGGGUUAAAGAAGCCAGCUUCCCAAAAUCCUAUUUGCCACAGCCCGAUUUUGCAAGUUUACCAAACUUACCUCACUCUAAAAUUUUUCAUUUAAGUAAAAAGUUUGCAGCAAUCAGUAUCAAUGGG
rnacentral:lncRNA from 1 species